UGCGUAGGUGGUUUCGUAAGUAAGGUGUGAAAGCCCUCGGCUUACCCGGGGAAUUGCGCCUUAUACUGCGAGGCUUGAGGAUUUCAGGGGAAAGGGGAACUCCAGGUGUAGCGGUGAAAUGCGCAGAUAUCUGGGGGAAGGCCGGCGGCGAAGGCGCCUUUCUGGGAAAUUCCUGACACUGAGGCACGAAAGCGUGGGGAGCAAACAGGAUUAGAUACCCUGGUAGUCCACGCCCUAAACGAUGGAUACUAAGUAGGGACCCUGCAAGGGGUUCCUUGCCGGAGCAAAAGCGUUAAGUAUCCCGCCUGGGGAGUAUGGUCGCAAGGCUGAA
rnacentral:rRNA from 1 species